rnacentral:rRNA from 1 species
GAGUUUGAUCAUGGCUCAGAUUGAACGCUGGCGGCAGGCCUAACACAUGCAAGUCGAGCGGAAACGAGUUAACUGAACCUUCGGGGGACGUUAACGGCGUCGAGCGGCGGACGGGUGAGUAAUGCCUAGGAAAUUGCCCUGAUGUGGGGGAUAACCAUUGGAAACGAUGGCUAAUACCGCAUGAUGCCUACGGGCCAAAGAGGGGGACCUUCGGGCCUCUCGCGUCAGGAUAUGCCUAGGUGGGAUUAGCUAGUUGGUGAGGUAAGGGCUCACCAAGGCGACGAUCCCUAGCUGGUCUGAGAGGAUGAUCAGCCACACUGGAACUGAGACACGGUCCAGACUCCUACGGGAGGCAGCAGUGGGGAAUAUUGCACAAUGGGCGCAAGCCUGAUGCAGCCAUGCCGCGUGUGUGAAGAAGGCCUUCGGGUUGUAAAGCACUUUCAGUCGUGAGGAAGGUAGUGUAGUUAAUAGCUGCAUUAUUUGACGUUAGCGACAGAAGAAGCACCGGCUAACUCCGUGCCAGCAGCCGCGGUAAUACGGAGGGUGCGAGCGUUAAUCGGAAUUACUGGGCGUAAAGCGCAUGCAGGUGGUUUGUUAAGUCAGAUGUGAAAGCCCGGGGCUCAACCUCGGAAUAGCAUUUGAAACUGGCAGACUAGAGUACUGUAGAGGGGGGUAGAAUUUCAGGUGUAGCGGUGAAAUGCGUAGAGAUCUGAAGGAAUACCGGUGGCGAAGGCGGCCCCCUGGACAGAUACUGACACUCAGAUGCGAAAGCGUGGGGAGCAAACAGGAUUAGAUACCCUGGUAGUCCACGCCGUAAACGAUGUCUACUUGGAGGUUGUGGCCUUGAGCCGUGGCUUUCGGAGCUAACGCGUUAAGUAGACCGCCUGGGGAGUACGGUCGCAAGAUUAAAACUCAAAUGAAUUGACGGGGGCCCGCACAAGCGGUGGAGCAUGUGGUUUAAUUCGAUGCAACGCGAAGAACCUUACCUACUCUUGACAUCCAGAGAACUUUCCAGAGAUGGAUUGGUGCCUUCGGGAACUCUGAGACAGGUGCUGCAUGGCUGUCGUCAGCUCGUGUUGUGAAAUGUUGGGUUAAGUCCCGCAACGAGCGCAACCCUUAUCCUUGUUUGCCAGCGAGUAAUGUCGGGAACUCCAGGGAGACUGCCGGUGAUAAACCGGAGGAAGGUGGGGACGACGUCAAGUCAUCAUGGCCCUUACGAGUAGGGCUACACACGUGCUACAAUGGCGCAUACAGAGGGCGGCCAACUUGCGAAAGUGAGCGAAUCCCAAAAAGUGCGUCGUAGUCCGGAUUGGAGUCUGCAACUCGACUCCAUGAAGUCGGAAUCGCUAGUAAUCGUGGAUCAGAAUGCCACGGUGAAUACGUUCCCGGGCCUUGUACACACCGCCCGUCACACCAUGGGAGUGGGCUGCAAAAGAAGUAGGUAG